rnacentral:rRNA from 1 species
GACGUAGGGCGCAAGCGUUGUCCGGAAUUAUUGGGCGUAAAGAGCUCGUAGGUGGCUUGUCGCGUCGACUGUGAAAACCCGUGGCUCAACCAUGCGGUCUGCAGUCGAUACGGGCAGACUAGAGUUCGGUAGGGGAGACUGGAAUUCCUGGUGUAGCGGUGAAAUGCGCAGAUAUCAGGAGGAACACCGAUGGCGAAGGCAGGUCUCUGGGCCAUUACUGACGUGAGAAGCGAAAGCAUGGGGAGCGAACAGG